rfam:Poecilia formosa, whole genome shotgun sequence.
GCUCCAGUGGCACAAUCAGUCAGCACACAGUACUUAUAAGACAGUCACCUGCAAAGUGAUGCCAAGGUUGUGAGUUCAAGUCUCACCUGGAGCA